rnacentral:rRNA from 1 species
CAGCCGCCACGGUAAAACGUAGGUCCCGAGCGUUGUCCGGAUUUAUUGGGCGUAAAGCGAGCGCAGGCGGUUAGAUAAGUCUGAAGUUAAAGGCUGUGGCUUAACCAUAGUACGCUUUGGAAACUGUUUAACUUGAGUGCAAGAGGGGAGAGUGGAAUUCCAUGUGUAGCGGUGAAAUGCGUAGAUAUAUGGAGGAACACCGGUGGCGAAAGCGGCUCUCUGGCUUGUAACUGACGCUGAGGCUCGAAAGCGUGGGGAGCAAACAGGAUUAGAUACCCCUGUAGUCCCUGUCUCUUAUACA